GUUGCUCUCGUGUGUGAACCUACCAGCCUGUCUGGAUAAAUGCUGGGGCCACUGGCUUAGACCAAGUUCUAUGCUUGCAGCUACGCUGCAGCAUGUUUAGCCCUAACUCGGGUAUGCCCGCAUGGGCUUCACUAACCAUCCUGGGGACCGCAGCUUAGACAUAGCCAAAGGAACGGUGAACUUUACACCUAAGAGGGCCUCCAGCGGUAGGCACCGUCAUGUCCUUGUUUGAGAAAUACCUUCUUAAGUGCACCAACCUGCUGAUCUGAAAGGGGCAAAACAUCUUCCAUCACAGAGAAACUGUGAGAUGCAUAUACAUGGGAGAGGAACAGAGGAAGUAUUCAGUGGAGAAUGCCAGAAGGCAUGGACUCCUUUUGAUAUUUGAGACUUCAGGAAUGGAAGAAUUUUGAAAAAGACUGGACAACUAUUUGAAUGCCUAAGGGAUGACAAUGCAAUUUUGGAUAGAUCAGCUCCAGACAAUUAUUUAGGACAACAAAAUCGGAACACUUGCAUUGAAACUUGACUUGUUUUGUCAGCUUUACCUGUGUGUGCACCCUCUGGAUGUCUCUGGUUAUUCCAGGCUUCUUUCGCUGUCAGGAAUAUUCAAUGUUCACAGUCAAGACUCUUUCUAUUGUCUUAAAACUCAAAAUGACUCCAAAUAGAUGGCAAAGAUGAAUAACAGAAGCGGAGAAAGUCAUUUCAAGAAACUUUUAAGAGGACAAACACAAUCUUUUAUCAUGUCUUAGGCCAUUUGUUCUUCAAAAUACACUGCAGAACAUAUACUUAUCCUCCAACUCUAUUCUGUAAGUCUUGUAACAGUAUCAAGAAACCACGAGCCAUGCAUUUAGCUCUGCUGGAAGAGUCUAAGAAAUA